GUGUGAGUAGAAAUCCAGUUGCUUACAGUUGCUUGAAGGAAAAUACCUUUAAUUCCUUAACACGUUUGUAAAGUUUGAUCAAAGCGGUUUGUCAGUAGUAGAAUCAUAGAAUCUUUUAGGUUGGAAAAGACCUUCAAAACUACCACCCCCAACCAUCAAUGUAACUUACUGAGUCCCAUCACUAAACUAUGUCCCAUAGUGCCACAUCUCUUAAAUACCUCUAGGGAUGGGGACUCCACCACUUCCCUGGGCAGCCCGUUCCAAUGUUAGACCACCCCCUCCAAAAAGAAAUUCUUCCAAAUAUCCAAUCUAAACUUCCCCAGUGCAACUUGAUACCAUUUCCUUGUGUCCUAUCACUUGUCACGUGAUAAAAGUGUCCGUCAUCCUCCUCACUGCAACCUCCUUUCAGUAAGUAAGUAAGUAGUAGAUACUGAUUUUUAGUAAUGGAGAAUUAGAAUACAUGUAUUAUAGUUCAUUGACAAGCCUGCUUUGCUUUGAUUUACUGCUUUGUUUUUGGUUUGCUUCUGGAAGUGAAGCUUUCCAUAUGUAUCUGUUAACUUGGUUCUCAACUUUAGCUAUUGAUUGUGUAAACGCUUCUUCUAGUAUCCUUUGGAAAACCGUUACAAGAGCUAAAAAGCAUAUCUGUAUAACACUCCUAUAAUUUUGGUUAAUAAAGCUGGAAAAAAUAAUUAUUAUUCCA